CAAAGGUUUGGUCCUGGCCUUACUGUUAAUUAUAAUUAGACCUACACAUGCAAGUUUCCGCUACCCAGUGAGAAUGCCCUAAAUAUUUUUAUCAAAUUGAUAGGAGCUGGUAUCAGGCACACCUCUGGUUGCCCAUUACACCUUGCUUAACCACACCCCCACGGGCUACAGCAGUGACUAACAUUGAGCCAUAAACGAAAGUUUGACUAAAUCAUAAUUACUCAGGGUUGGUAAAUUUCGUGCCAGCCACCGCGGUCAUACGAUUAACCCAAAUUAACAGAAAUCCGGCGUAAAGCGUGUUUAGGCAUUAUAACUACAAUAAAGCUAAGGUCCAACUAAGCUGUAACACGCUAUAGUUGACAUUAAAAUAUACAACUAAAGUGGCUUUAACUAUGCUGAAUACACGAUAGCUAAGAAACAAACUGGGAUUAGAUACCCCACUAUGCUUAGCCCUAAACUUAAAUAAUUUAUCCUAACAAAAUUAUUCGCCAGAGAACUACUAGCCAUAGCUUAAAACUCAAAGGACUUGGCGGUGCCCUAAACCCAUCUAGAGGAGCCUGUUCUAUAAUCGAUAAACCCCGAUACACCUCACCUCUUCUUGCCAAUACAGUCUAUAUACCGCCAUCGUCAGCAGACCCCAACAGGGUAGUGAAGUAAGCAAGAGUACUUGCCGUAAAAACGUUAGGUCAAGGUGUAGCAUAUGAAGAGGGAAGAAAUGGGCUACAUUUUCUACAUUAGAAUAUCAACGAACUAUCUUAUGAAACUUAAGAUAUCUGAAGGAGGAUUUAGUAGUAAAUCAAGAAUAGAGAGCUUGGUUGAAAUAGGCAAUAAGGCGCGCACACACCGCCCGUCACCCUCCUCGAUUACAUUCUAAAAAUUACUAAUACAUUUUACUUAAAAAAGAGGAGAAAAGUCGUAACAUGGUAAGUGUACUGGAAAGUGCACUUGGAAUAUGCUAAUCUAAGCCCUCUUAGUUAUUAUCAAAAUUAUCUUAACCAUUUAC
rnacentral:ncRNA from 1 species